GAUGAACGCUGGCGGCGCGCCUAACACAUGCAAGUCGAACGGCACCCCUCUCCGGAGGGAAGCGAGUGGCGAACGGCUGAGUAACACGUGGAGAACCUGCCCCCUCCCCCGGGAUAGCCGCCCGAAAGGACGGGUAAUACCGGAUACCCCGGGGUGCCGCAUGGCACCCCGGCUAAAGCCCCGACGGGAGGGGAUGGCUCCGCGGCCCAUCAGGUAGACGGCGGGGUGACGGCCCACCGUGCCGACAACGGGUAGCCGGGUUGAGAGACCGACCGGCCAGAUUGGGACUGAGACACGGCCCAGACUCCUACGGGAGGCAGCAGUGGGGAAUCUUGCGCAAUGGGGGGAACCCUGACGCAGCGACGCCGCGUGCGGGACGGAGGCCUUCGGGUCGUAAACCGCUUUCAGCAGGGAAGAGUCAAGAC
rnacentral:rRNA from 1 species